UGGGGAAUUUUGGACAAUGGGCGAAAGCCUGAUCCAGCAAUGCCGCGUGUGUGAAGAAGGCCUUCGGGUUGUAAAGCACUUUUGUCCGGAAAGAAAUCCUUGGCUCUAAUACAGUCGGGGGAUGACGGUACCGGAAGAAUAAGCACCGGCUAACUACGUGCCAGCAGCCGCGGUAAUACGUAGGGUGCAAGCGUUAAUCGGAAUUACUGGGCGUAAAGCGUGCGCAGGCGGUUUGCUAAGACCGAUGUGAAAUCCCCGGGCUCAACCUGGGAACUGCAUUGGUGACUGGCAGGCUAGAGUAUGGCAGAGGGGGGUAGAAUUCCACGUGUAGCAGUGAAAUGCGUAGAGAUGUGGAGGAAUACCGAUGGCGAAGGCAGCCCCCCUGGGCCAAAUACUGACGCUCAUGCACGAAAGCGUGGGGAGCAAACAGGAUUAGAUACCCUGGUAGUCCACGCCCUAAACGAUGUCAACUAGUUGUUGGGGAUUCAUUUCCUAGUAACGUAGCUAACGCGUGAAGUUGACCGCCUGGGGAGUACGGUCGCAAGAUUAAAACUCAAAUGAAUUGAC
rnacentral:rRNA from 1 species